UGGGGAAUAUUGCACAAUGGGCGCAAGCCUGAUGCAGCCAUGCCGCGUGUGUGAAGAAGGCCUUCGGGUUGUAAAGCACUUUCAGCGGGGAGGAAGGCGGUGAGGUUAAUAACCUCACCGAUUGACGUUACCCGCAGAAGAAGCACCGGCUAACUCCGUGCCAGCAGCCGCGGUAAUACGGAGGGUGCAAGCGUUAAUCGGAAUUACUGGGCGUAAAGCGCACGCAGGCGGUCUGUCAAGUCGGAUGUGAAAUCCCCGGGCUCAACCUGGGAACUGCAUUCGAAACUGGCAGGCUAGAGUCUUGGAGAGGGGGGUAGAAUUCCAGGUGUAGCGGUGAAAUGCGUAGAGAUCUGGAGGAAUACCGGUGGCGAAGGCGGCCCCCUGGACAAAGACUGACGCUCAGGUGCGAAAGCGUGGGGAGCAAACAGG
rnacentral:rRNA from 1 species